AUCAGGGGUAAACCUGUGGAACUCGAACGAGCGAACGGGGAGAUUCAUCGUUCUCCGCGGGUCCGCGGGGGCGCGUCGUGCAUGUGCGGCGCUCGUCUCCGCGGCUCGCGGAGUGCGUGCACUCCUCCCUCAGUAAAACACCGCGACCCGUUGCUGGGUCGAACGCGUCGUGCGGUAGUCCCGCUUCGCGAAGAGGAACCGCGGCGUCGCGGCUCACGUGCGACGGUAAAGAACGAGGUUUGCGUCCGCCGGCGUCCGCGUUGUGGCGGCGGCUUUACUCUGCCGGUCGAUGUCGGCCGACGAGGAGAGUCGCGUCUGCUGCAUCGGCUCGGACGGGACGCGUCCCGGUCUGCGGUGGUUUGUUUCGGGCACUCACAGGACCCGUCUUGAAAC
rnacentral:rRNA from 1 species